rnacentral:lncRNA from 10 species
AUAGUACACUUGUGCUGAAGCAUUUUGGUGAACUAAGGUAGCAAUGAAGCUUUUUAUCAUUUAAAGAAGUACAGGUAGCAAACAAGGGAGCAGUAAGCAGGUUUUUAUUGCUAUUAUAACUCCUAUUAUAAGAGUUUUAAAUCUUCCUAGUGCUGGGAACCACCUUCUAAACAUGGCUUCAGGGUUGAAUCCGUGCUACACUUGCACGGGUACAUGUGCCAGUUUUGUUAUGUCUUUAACUAUGUCCUCAACUACUUGCCCCUGAUCAUCUAUGUGUAGACAACAAUUAGUAAAGUUAAAUUUUCUUUUUUUUUUUUUUUUUUUAAGAGACGGGGUUUCACUGUGUUAGCCAGGAUGGUCUUGAUCUCCUGACCUCGUGAUCUGCCCACCUCGGCCUCCCAAAGUGCUGGGAUUACAGGCGUGAGCCACCGCGC